AAGAAAUCGAACAAAAGAACCCAGAACUGGUGAAAUGGUGAAAUUCAUGGGUCACAUAUUCCUAGAUUAUUCAGAGGAAAAGGGAGAAGACGAACCAGUAAAGGAUGGGAUGACUGAAAAUUGAUUUUGAAAAAAACAAGUGUAUGGUUUUCUCCCAAGAGGAUGUUGUCAAAUCUCAUUGACCAGAUGACUUCUGAAGCCCAAAUGAAAUAAGAAAAAGAUAGAUAAGGCGCCAUACAGGCAAGCAUGGGACUCAGGACAGUGCAGCCCAUAGAAGAGGGGUUUGCUCAGCGGUGCUCCCCAAGAGUUUAGCAACCCCAGGUGCAUCACAGCUGGAGUCAUCACACUGUGGGGUUGCUGUAGCCCUGCAAUGACCUGACAAGUGCUGAGCAAACCUAGUCAGCAAACUUACACCAUAAGCAUCCCGGUACUGUGAAAUUUUGCACUGGGUUAUCUGUUGAACAUCUGCACUGUUGUCUGUUGAACAUCUGUACUAUUUUCCGUUGGCAUGCAUACUGUUGUAGACUGAAGCCAUCCAUUCUAUUCUGUAACUGUGGUCCGGCAUUGUUCAACUUCUCAUCCCGAGAAGGAUAAAAGAAAGUAAACCACAUACCUCUGUGUGGCCUCGGACUCACCAUCAGCUGGCCUGUGAACCCGACAACCCUCUCGUCAGUGGGGACACCCGUGAUGCCAGCUGCCAGGGAGAACCUGAAUCAUCUUGGCACAGCUCGAGCGUGGUGAGAACAGUCUGGGGAAAACUAUACCAGAGGGGUGGCCCAUAAGGACAAGGAAAGGGCAAGAACGGUCAUUGUACCAUACAUACGAGAAUGGUCAUUGUACUGUUCACCUGUGGCUUAACUGUAGAGCUUUAAUAUAUGAAUAUAUGUAUAUUUUAGUUCUGUUAUACUUCUAGCUUUACUAUACUUUUUAGCUUUGUUUUAUUUAUAGGUUGUCUGGUGUUAAUUGUUUAGUGUUGUCCAGCAUCCAUCAUAUGUGUAGAACGGCUUAGCUCUACUUGACAAAUGAUGAUCUCUUGAGUUCAGUGCAACUAACCCCAGAAUCUGAAAAAAUCCUGGACACCCCUCUAUUGGCAUGUCACACCAUUAGAAGAUUUAUAUAUUUGUUCAUUUAAUGAACAGAAAUGACAAACAAAAUUUUAAAUUGCUGUGUUAUUCAUUGCAUUUGAGAAGCAAAAAUUAAGAUUUUAACAAAAGAAUAGCUUGACAAUGGAAUAAACAAUUUAUAUUUUUGCCAUUUCUGCUGUAACAAUUUAAGUUAAUUCACUUGCUCUUUUAAUUGGAUUAACUCAGGGUCCUUUUUUUUUUGUUUAUGGAGAACAAAGCACAUUUGUUGAGUGGUUAUUUAUUAAUGCAAUACACCAUAAAUGCACACAUACUAAAAGGGAAAAAAUCGCAUUGAACUAGUAUUAUGUACUUCUUUAUUAGUGAAAUCCAUCUGGAUUAGAUACAUUUGAAAGUUCUGUUGUUAAUACUUGUAUAUCAUCAUCUCUGCAGAAGUAAUUGAGAAGUUAAAAUAAAAAUGUUCCAAGUUA